rnacentral:rRNA from 1 species
CUUGCUCCUUGGGUGACGAGUGGCGGACGGGUGAGUAAUGUCUGGGAAACUGCCCGAUGGAGGGGGAUAACUACUGGAAACGGUAGCUAAUACCGCAUAACGUCGCAAGACCAAAGAGGGGGACCUUCGGGCCUCUUGCCAUCGGAUGUGCCCAGAUGGGAUUAGCUAGUAGGUGGGGUAACGGCUCACCUAGGCGACGAUCCCUAGCUGGUCUGAGAGGAUGACCAGCCACACUGGAACUGAGACACGGUCCAGACUCCUACGGGAGGCAGCAGUGGGGAAUAUUGCACAAUGGGCGCAAGCCUGAUGCAGCCAUGCCGCGUGUAUGAAGAAGGCCUUCGGGUUGUAAAGUACUUUCAGCGAGGAGGAAGGUGUUGUGGUUAAUAACCGCAGCAAUUGACGUUACUCGCAGAAGAAGCACCGGCUAACUCCGUGCCAGCAGCCGCGGUAAUACGGAGGGUGCAAGCGUUAAUCGGAAUUACUGGGCGUAAAGCGCACGCAGGCGGUCUGUCAAGCGGAUGUGAAAUCCCCGGGCUCAACCUGGGAACUGCAUCCGAAACUGGCAGGCUAGAGUCUUGUAGAGGGGGGUAGAAUUCCAGGUGUAGCGGUGAAAUGCGUAGAGAUCUGGAGGAAUACCGGUGGCGAAGGCGGCCCCCUGGACAAAGACUGACGCUC